GGCUUUAUAGUCUAGUGGUUAGGACCUUGAACUUAGAAUCCAAAAACCUGAAUUUGGAUUUCAAUGGAGCCU
rnacentral:tRNA from 1 species